rnacentral:rRNA from 1 species
GGGCCCGCACAAGCGGUGGAGCAUGUGGUUUAAUUCGAUGAUACGCGAGGAACCUUACCAGGGCUUAAAUGUAGUCUGACAGCUUUAGAGAUAGAGUUUUCUUCGGACAGAUUACAAGGUGCUGCAUGGUUGUCGUCAGCUCGUGCCGUGAGGUGUCAGGUUAAGUCCUAUAACGAGCGCAACCCCUGUCGUUAGUUGCCAGCAUGUCAUGAUGGGGACUCUAACGAGACUGCCGGUGCAAACCGUGAGGAAGGUGGGGAUGACGUCAAAUCAUCACGGCCCUUACGUCCUGGGCCACACACGUGCUACAAUGGCCAGUACAGAGAGCAGCCAAUGCGCAAGCAUGAGCGAAUCUACAAAGCUGGUCACAGUUCGGAUCGGAGUCUGCAACUCGACUCCGUG